UGUUUCCUGAUAACAAUGAGAGAUGUUUUGAGAAAGAUAGCUUGAAAAGAGAGCAGUGGUGUGUGAUUCAGGUUUUUGACCCGAGCAUUCAUUGAUCAAGGCAAGAGAGAGAAUGGAGAAGCUCCUAAGGACUUCACUAGUGAUCAUGGGGUUUCUACUAACAUGGGUGAGCUGCCAACAGAGAGUGGAACAGAAUCCUCCAUUUUUGCAUGUCCAGGAGAAAGAGAAUAUCACUAUCAACUGCACUUAUUCAGACCAAAACACUCAAGGCGUACAGUGGUACCGACAGUAUCCUGGGAAAGCCCUCACCUUGCUAAUUUACCUGGCUUCAGGGACAAAACAGGAAGGAAGAUUCAAAUUCACAUUCAGCAGAAAAGAUCGUUUUAGCUCUUUGCACAUCAUUGCCUCUCAGCCUGGAGACUCAGCCACCUAUCUGUGUGCUAUGAUAGCACAGUGAUCUCCAAGCACCUGUA